AAGGAGUCUAACAUGCUUGCGAGUAUUUGGGUGUCAAACCCGGAUGCGUAAUGAAAGUGAAUGGAGGUGGGCAGCGCAAGCUGCACCAUCGACCGAUCUGGAUUUUCUAAGAUGGAUUUGAGUAAGAGCACGUAUGUUGGGACCCGAAAGAUGGUGAACUAUGCCUGAAUAGGGCGAAGCCAGAGGAAACUCUGGUGGAGGCUCGUAGCGGUUCUGACGUGCAAAUCGAUCGUCAAAUUUGGGUAUAGGGGCGAAAGACUAAUCGAACCAUCUAGUAGCUGGUUCCUGC
rnacentral:misc_RNA from 1 species